rnacentral:rRNA from 1 species
AUUGAACGCUGGCGGCAGGCCUAACACAUGCAAGUCGAACGAGUGGCGGACGGGUGAGUAAUGUCUGGGAAAGUGCCCGAUGGCGGGGGAUAACUACUGGAAACGGUAGCUAAUACCGCAUAACAUUGGAUGUGCCCAUAUGGGAUUAGCUAGUUGGUGGGGUAACGGCUCACCUAGGCGACGAUCCCUAGCUGGUCUGAGAGGAUGACCAGCCACACUGGAACUGAGACACGGUCCAGACUCCUACGGGAGGCAGCAGUGGGGAAUAUUGCACAAGGGGCGCAAGCCUGAUGCAGCCAUGCCGCGUGUAUGAAGAAGGCCUUCGGGUUGUAAAGUACUUUCAGCGGGGAGGCGGUACCCGCAGAAGAAGCACCGGCUAACUCCGUGCCAGCCGCCGCGGUAAUUC